CUGACACAGAACCAUGACACACCUGUCGUAAAGCUAAAUAUUCAGAUGAGUUGGGGAAACAACCAGAGGGGGAGAGGUUAUUGCAUGGAGGAAGCAUUGUUCAAGAUCUGUACGUGUGCACCUGCAGCUAUAUGCAGCUUCCUCCAUUCUCAUUAUGUAUUUUUCCACAGUGACAUCAUGAUGAAGUCCAACCUACUAAAAGUAACUCAAAGUGACUUCCGAAAGAGAGACUGAAAAGAAAGUAUUGAGUCUGAGGGAGCUGGAUGAGCAGACCUUUACUCACCUUUACUCACACUCAGACAUUUAGAAAUACUAAGAGUCAGAUCAGCCGGAGUAACGUGGAAAUGUCUGCAGUAACUUUGUCGCUCUGCUCGACUUUCCUGUUUAUCUGCAUCUUCAUGUUUGUCUCUGCAGAGCAUAAAGUCAUCACAGCUGACUCUGGACGGGAUGUUACUGUGCCAUGUCAAGCUCCAAACAACAACAACAACUUAGUUGCCCCAAACAACAAGAGCUCAAACCUCACACCUGUUUCUCACCUGCAGCUUAUCACACAUUUGAUUUCCAUGUGUGACGACUGCAAGUGUCCAGAGUGAGGACAGACUGAGGGACCCACUGCUGCACAUCAUCUGUGAGGCUUUGCACCCCUGAUGAUCCACCAGGACAAACUCAGCAGUGUGUGAGGAAGAGGAGGAGGAAGAGUCAGCAGCAGCUGACAGAUGGAGAGAAUAGACAGACUGUUCCCUGUUUGUGAAGGACUGCUAGAAAAGUUUAACAUAACUAAUUGUCUGUCCUGAAUCAGUCUUAUUAGGUAAUGUUCAAAUAAUGUUAUCAUCCCAGUGUUUUCAGUGUGGGAGAAAGUACUCAGGGCCUUCAAGUUACACACUAUGAAAGGCAGAAACAAGUUUAAUGUUCAGAAACCUAAAGUAUGUAUCAGCAGCAGAAUGGAGCUAAAAAUAAAUGUUUGUUUCAGUUCUAUGAAGCUUUGAGUAUUUUGGAUUAGUAGCACUGCUGUGUUUGUUGCAUCAUAUUGCUGUAAUUGUUUAUAUGCUUUAUAUAUUCUGAGGUAAGUUGAUCUAUAGUGUUACAUCAUAUUCUAUAAGGAUGUUAUGUGUUUGUAGACUUUCUGCCCAGUUUGACCCAUUUAGCAGAAGUCAGCCUGUUUAAGGCUCUGAUAUCUAUUCUGUAUGACUUAAAGCAGUUAUGACAUGGUCUGAUUUUCUCAC
ensembl:lncRNA